GGAAUCUUCCGCAAUGGACGCAAGUCUGACGGAGCAACGCCGCGUGAGUGAUGAAGGUUUUCGGAUCGUAAAGCUCUGUUGCCCUAGACGAACAGCAAGGCGAGUAACUGCGCUUUGUGUGACGGUAUAGGAGAAGAAAGCCCCGGCUAACUACGUGCCAGCAGCCGCGGUAAUACGUAGGGGGCAAGCGUUGUCCGGAAUUAUUGGGCGUAAAGCGCGCGCAGGCGGUUAAUUAAGUUGGGUGUUUAAGCCCGGGGCUCAACCCCGGUUCGCAUCCAAAACUGGUUGACUUGAGUGUAGGAGAGGAAAGUGGAAUUCCACGUGUAGCGGUGAAAUGCGUAGAGAUGUGGAGGAACACCAGUGGCGAAGGCGACUUUCUGGCCUAUAACUGACGCUGAGGCGCGAAAGCGUGGGGAGCAAACA
rnacentral:rRNA from 1 species